AAUGCCAUCCAAAUUAUUGACACCUGUUUGGGAAAAGAUACAAAAUAAAAUUAGGACAGAUCACUGUGUUAUCUGUUAGAACUAUCAAAAAGGAGAAACAUCACUGACUCUUGUUCAGAGGCACAGGGCCAGGACCUUUCACAGUAACCAUUCAGUGAUGGCUGCCUUGCACAUGGCUUGGCAAUAUUUUGUAUUCCUAGAGUUGUGCUGUCUGACCCAGCAGCUUGAGUCUCAGAUAUAGAGCUAGGUAAAAUGCAUCCAAGUGUGUUCCGAGGGCGUGCAUAGCCAUCUUAACAUUGGCAGUAUUUAUAGUCUGAACUGGAAGCUGCCCAAAUGGUCCUCAGCAGUGCAGAAACUGUGCAUUACUGUGAGUAAUGAACUGAACAGGACAAUACAAUGACUCUCAAGUCAGUGUUAAGAGAAAGAAGCCCAACACAGUCAUCUGGACAUCACGUUUCUACAGAGCUCAGCACGAUGAGCAUAGUCCUGGCGUUAGAGUGAAGCUGGUAAUUAACCGUUGGUUAGCGUGGGUGUUAGUGCCUGAGGAGAUGGGAGAAGCAACUUUCUCAUUACCCAGAUGGUAGUUAUGUGAGUGGUUCACAUUGUGACAGUAUAGCCCAAUAUCCCUAGUGUUUGACCAAUGUUUUGUUUGCUAUAGUCAGAAAAUAAUUUACUUAGUAAAAAAAAAAAAAAAA
rnacentral:lncRNA from 1 species